CCAUGGAUAUUAAAUUAGUCCGAGUGGUAGGCUUGUUUGUGGUGGAAACAUCACCUUGUUUCUCACCCAUUGGAAAUAAAUUCAUUGUUGUUGCCACCUGACGCACCAUCUCUGGUGUACCAUUUCCUUCAUGAAACAUAUACAUACAAGCACCAAAGAAACAUCAGAUCUCAUAAAUUUCUAAGUUUUGAAGCUUUUAAGGAGAAACAGUUCAAAGUAGAGUCUCUUAAGGGAAAAAAAAAA
rnacentral:misc_RNA from 1 species